UAAUAAUCAUGUAAUAAUCAUGAAAUCUAAUUUCCUUUAGUAUUUAUUUAAAUGAAUGUCCUGUUGAGGUCAGCUUUUUCCAUCCUGUUUGUGAAAUUUGCUGCUGAGGCUCAAGUACAGUGGAAGGGAGACAGGUGAUGAAUAAGAAGUCCUCCCAGUUGUUAGUGUCUCUGCCAUGGCAUACAAAAUUAACUGAUGACUGAAAAGAUACAGACAAAGAGAAAACAAUGUGAAACUGAGAAAGCGAACAAGGAAUAACCUUCACCUUGAUUUGCAGGAGGUAGAACUGCAAAACUGUGUGACAAGUUGCAGAAAACCAAGCAGAGCCCACUUGCGAACUACUGCUUCCUAACUCAUAAAGCUGAAGAUAUUUUAAAUCAACACUAUACACUGUAUUUUUAGCAGGACAAUUUUGCUUUAUAUUUAUUUUAUUUAUUUAUUGAGCAUCAUGAUCAAGAAAUCUCUAGGAUUUUUACACUUUUAUUGAAAAUAUUCUCCAUAUAUUACACCGUUGCUUGAAUUUAAAGAUACAACAAAUAAUUCUUCCUACUGAUUUUUAAAAUUGAGCUAUUUGUGGAUGUCUCUCGUGACUCAAAUUUCACAGCUGCCUUCUGCUUUAAUUUUCUUCCUAUUUCUCUGAUCAAAAAUAUAAUUACAAAAAGAGCUCUGUCAGAAUACUCAAGAGGCUUUAAAUGCAAAAUUUCACUUCUUAAUGGAAGUUAUUUAACAUUUUCUACUUCAUGCAGAAAUUAAACUAUGAGGGCUGCUCUGAAAAUAGGGCCUUCUAUUUUAUUAUGGUAGCCCAUAACAUCAGAGGCAGAUGUUGGUGGUAUGGCAGUAGAGGCUGAGCCUUCAUCUCAGUUCCAUUAUAUUUUGUUGCCAUGUGAGAGAUGGCAGCAGGGGAGCAAUCUGACGAUGAAGUGCAUAUGAAGCAAAGGUGUGUCACUGAGUUUCACUAAGAGCAAAAAGAAAAAUUGCACACGUUGAUAUUCAUCAAUACUUGCUGAACUUUUAUGGAGAUCAAAUAGGUGAACAUGGACAACUAAUUGUGGCAACUACAUUAUAAAACAGCAUUUUGUAGCUGAGAAUUUACUCUGUCAGAAGGUGUUAUGGUGCACUUUUUGCCUGUUGUAGUUUCCCAUGGAAGUAAACAGGAGACAUUACUUUCAGAGCAACCUGCUUAACAUUCUGAGCAGUUUGUAAGUAAUGAUUUGUGUAAUUGAAAAGAAAUAUAUUUAAAAAAAUGUUCUUUCACCAUUAAUUAUUCUUUCUCUCAUUUAAAAUUGAUCUGUUCUCUCACUAAUCCCAUAAUAUAUUUUGCUUUCCAAUGCCUACACACUUGUUUGUCUCAUCGAUCACUAAAAGAAAAGGGAAGCUCAGUGUAAAAAGAAGAUAUAGAAACUUCAAAGUCCAUAAUGACACUGCUGAUCACUUAAGAUAAAAUGAUUUCGAAUAAUGUACAUCCUAUCUGUUGACUAUCUGGAUUGUAUUUUAUAAUGCAUAAUUUCUGAAUGAAUAUUCUCAUC
ensembl:lncRNA